rnacentral:rRNA from 1 species
GGUAAUACGUAGGCAGCAAGCGUUGUUCGGAGUUACUGGGCGUAAAGGGUGCGUAGGCGGCUCGAUAAGUAUGGUGUGAAAUCUCCCGGCUUAACUGGGAGGGUGCGCUAUAGACUGCCGGGCUAGAGUGUGGGAGAGGAAAGUGGAAUUCCUGGUGUAGCGGUGAAAUGCGUAGAUAUCAGGAGGAACACCGGUGGUGUAAACGGCUUUCUGGACCAUAACUGACGCUGAGGCACGAAAGCGUGGGUAGCAAACAGGAUUAGAUACCCUGGUAGUCCACGCCCUAAACGAUGCAUAUUUGGUGUGGGUCAUUCAGUUGAUCCGUGCCGGAGCUAACGCGUUAAAUAUGCCGCCUGGGGAGUACAGUCGCMAGGCUGAAACUC